CCCGCCGAAUUUAAGCAUAUCAUAG
rnacentral:rRNA from 1 species